GGAGGCAUAGGUCAGUGGCAGUGCAUCUGCUCUGAGUGCAGAAGACCCAAAGUUCAAUACCUGGUGUCUUCA